GCGUCGGUUUACACCC
rnacentral:rRNA from 14 species